rnacentral:rRNA from 1 species
AUUGAACGCUGGCGGCAGGCCUAACACAUGCAAGUCGAGCGGAUGAAGGGAGCUUGCUCCUGGAUUCAGCGGCGGACGGGUGAGUAAUGCCUAGGAAUCUGCCUGGUCGUGGGGGAUAACGUCCGGAAACGGGCGCUAAUACCGCAUACGUCCUGAGGGAGAAAGUGGGGGAUCUUCGGACCUCACGCUAUCAGAUGAGCCUAGGUCGGAUUAGCUAGUUGGUGGGGUAAAGGCCUACCAAGGCGACGAUCCGUAACUGGUCUGAGAGGAUGAUCAGUCACACUGGAACUGAGACACGGUCCAGACUCCUACGGGAGGCAGCAGUGGGGAAUAUUGGACGAUGGGCGAAAGCCUGAUCCAGCCAUGCCGCGUGUGUGAAGAAGGUCUUCGGAUUGUAAAGCACUUUAAGUUGGGAGGAAGGGCAGUAAGUUAAUACCUUGCUGUUUUGACGUUACCAACAGAAUAAGCACCGGCUAACUUCGUG